rnacentral:lncRNA from 1 species
ACAAUGCAAGAAAUUUAUUUGGAAACUUUCUUCUGGAAGAAAGUCAAAUGUAACAACUUGAAGAAGCCAUAUGGAGGAAGAAAAUCCUGACAAUCUCCAGCUGUUCAUUCUUUCUCAGCUGGACUACAGACAGGCACUGCUCUCCUUGUACCAUGUAACAGAGGAGCUAUAGUUUAAAUGCCUGGAGUCUGUUGGCCUGAUUGAAGCCUGUCC